UACAGAGGUUUCAAGCGUUGUUCGGAUUCAUUGGGCGUAAAGGGUGCGUAGGUGGCAUGGUAAGUCGGAUGUGAAAUCCCGGGGCUCAACCCCGGAACUGCAUUCGAUACUGCUGCGCUAGAGUACUGGAGAGGAGAUUGGAAUUUACGGUGUAGCAGUGAAAUGCGUAGAUAUCGUAAGGAAGACCAGUGGCGAAGGCGGAUCUCUGGACAGUUACUGACACUGAGGCACGAAAGCCAGGGGAGCAAACGGG
rnacentral:rRNA from 1 species